rnacentral:rRNA from 1 species
CCUACGGGAGGCAGCAGUGGGGAAUAUUGGGCAAUGGACGCAAGCCUGACCCAGCAACGCCGCGUGAAGGAAGAAGGCUUUCGGGUUGUAAACUUCUUUUCUCAGGGACGAAGAAAGUGACGGUACCUGAGGAAUAAGCCACGGCUAACUACGUGCCAGCAGCCGCGGUAAUACGUAGGUGGCAAGCGUUAUCCGGAUUGACUGGGUGUAAAGGGCGUGUAGGCGGGGUAGCAAGUCAGAGGUGAAAACCACGGGCUCAACCUGUGCACUCCAUUGGAAACUGUUUUUCUUGAGUGCUGGAGAGGCAGACGGAAUUCCUAGUGUAGCGGUGAAAUGCGUAGAUAUUAGGAGGAACACCAGUGGCGAAGGCGGUUUGCUGGACAGCAACUGACGCUGAGGCGCGAAAGCGUGGGGAGCAAACAGGAUUAGAUACCCCGGUAGUC